rnacentral:piRNA from 1 species
UACUCACACCUAUUAAUCGGGGUCCUUCCCUU